AUUGAACGCUGGCGGCAGGCUUAACACAUGCAAGUCGAGCGAGCGGCGGACGGGUGAGUAAUGUCUGGGAAACUGCCUGAUGGAGGGGGAUAACUACUGGAAACGGUAGCUAAUACCGCAUACCAUCAGAUGUGCCCAGAUGGGAUUAGCUAGUAGGUGGGGUAAUGGCUCACCUAGGCGACGAUCCCUAGCUGGUCUGAGAGGAUGACCAGCGCCACUGGAACUGAGAAACGGUCCAGACUCCGACGUGAGGCAGAAGGGGGGAAUAUUGCACAAUGGGGGCAAGCCUGAUGCAGCCAUGCCGCGUGGGUGAAGAAGGCCUUCGGGUUGUAAAGCACUUUCAGCGAGGAGGCGUUACUCGCAGAAGAAGCACAGGAUAACUCCGUGCCAGCAGCCGCGGUAAUAC
rnacentral:rRNA from 1 species